rnacentral:sRNA from 1 species
AAAAAAUAAAUAGUCCCGCGGUAUACCGCGGGUUAAAAUCUAGUUAAUG